UAAUAAAGGAAAGAUAUAAAACCAUAAAAGAGUAACACUCAUUAUAUAUAUAACAGUAUUCAACAUAAGAACAACCAACUAGGGGCCGGUGCUCAGAUGGUACGUACAAGCCAAAAUACAAACACUAAAAGAACAGAAGACUAAACCUCCGUUUCUUAUUCCCAACAUUUUAUCUAUUAAUGCUGGUCAGUAACCAGACACUUGAUUAAUUAGUUCUCAGUUGGAGGCUUGUGCGGUGGCUUUUGGGGCGGCUUAUGGGGUGGCAGGUGUUUUAAUGGUGGUUUCUCUCCCUUUCCUUUAUAUGAAUCCUCAACUAACUCUUCCUCAGCCAAAAGAUGUCCAUGUGGUGGCUUGUGGGGUGGCUUGUGUUUUGGUACUGGUUUCUGUCCCUUUCCUUUAUAUGAAUCCUCGGCUAGCUCUUCCUCAGCCAAAAGAUGUCCAUGUGGCGGCUUAUGCUUUGGUGGUGGCUUAUUACCCUUAUGUGAGUCCUCUACAACCUCUGUAGCUAAAAGACGUCUGAGGGGUGGUUUGUGCUCUGGUGGUGGCUUGUGCGGUGGUUUGUGCUCGGAUGAUGGCUUUUGAGGUGGAAAAUUCUUAGGAGGUGGUUUCUCUCCCUUACCCUUAAAUGGCGGUUUUUGGAAGUCCUCUACGCUAUCCUCGCUUAAUAGGUGCCCAUGUGGUGGCUUGUGUGGUGGUUUGUGCUCUGGUGUUGGCUUUUGAGGUGGAAAAUUCUUAGGUGGUGGCUUUUGAGGUGGAAAAUUCUUAGGAGGUGGGUUCUCUCCCUUACCCUUAAAUGGUGGUUUUUGGAAGUCCUCUUCGCUAUCCUCACUUAAUAGGUGACCAUGUGGUGGCUUGUGUGGGGGGUUGUGCUCUGGGGGUGGCUUUUGAGGUGGGAAAUUCUUAGGUGGUGGCUUUUGAGGUGGAAAAUUCUUAGGAGGUGGGUUCUCUCCCUUACCCUUAAAUGGUGGUUUUUGGAAGUCCUCUUCGCUAUCCUCACUUAAUAGGUGACCAUGUGGUGGCUUGUGUGGUGGGUUGUGGUCUGGUGUUGGCUUUUGAGGUGGAAAAUUCUUAGGAGGUGGUUUCUCUCCCUUACCCUUGUAAGGUGGAUCAUGGACAUCCUCUACAUUAUCCUCACUUAACAGAUGACCAUGUGGUGGCUUGUGCUGUGAGUGGUGGUGAUCAUAAUGAUCAGCUAAUGAAGAAGAAAUGGAGAGAAUCACGACUGCUCCAAUAAGGAGCAACACUCGCAAGUUUUUAGAAGAGAACAUGUUUGA
rnacentral:lncRNA from 1 species